rnacentral:rRNA from 1 species
GACGAACGCUGGCGGCGCGCCUAACACAUGCAAGUCGAACGAAGUGAUUGAGAGCUUGCUUUCAAUCACUGAGUGGCGGACGGGUGAGUAACACGUGAGCAACCUGCCUUUCAGAGGGGGAUAACGUUUGGAAACGAACGCUAAUACCGCAUAACGUACCGAGAUGGCAUCGUCUUGGUACCAAAGGAGCAAUCCGCUGAAAGAUGGGCUCGCGUCCGAUUAGCUAGAUGGUGAGGUAACGGCCCACCAUGGCGACGAUCGGUAGCCGGACUGAGAGGUUGAUCGGCCACAUUGGGACUGAGACACGGCCCAGACUCCUACGGGAGGCAGCAGUGAGGGAUAUUGGGCAAUGGGGGCAACCCUGACCCAGCGACGCCGCGUGAGGGAAGACGGUCUUCGGAUUGUAAACCUCUGUCUUUGGGGACGAAACAAGACGGUACCCAAGGAGGAAGCUCCGGCUAACUACGUG